rnacentral:tmRNA from 1 species
GGGGGUGAACGGUCUCGACUUCGUACGUCGAGUCAGGGGAAGCGGGUCGAGGAAGCCGUGAUGAUCUCGUUAACCAUCCACGGCAACCAAUAGGUGCCAAUACAAACAGCACCCAGGCUCAGCUCGCUCUCGCUGCCUAAGCAGAGCAGUUGACCUUGUGAGCCCGGAGAUGCUCUCGCUCCGGUGCCUCGCAUCAUCUAGAGGGCUCACCGUCAGGUCCGGUCGCGGGAUCUGACGGGACAUCUCACAGCGGCUGGGCCCGUCGGCAGGUGUGCUCGUGCACCGGCCGGGGCCGAGAAAAUCGCUCCACGAGAUGCACCCGGAGAAGCCCUGGCACCACGGCGAAGGACGCGGGUUCGAUUCCCGCCACCUCCACCC